CGACGGUACAGGAGAUAGCGGUAGAUAUCUCGCCGUCUAGAGGCACAGUACGACUCUUAAAGCUACAAUCAAGCCUGUUCGCACAUCUUAAAGCCCCAUGAUGUCGUUCUCUCCCUCUCGUUGCGUCUUGCCACGGCCGGAAGACGAGCGGGGUGUGAAUUCCGCCGGGAGGUGGAGGUACGCGAGGUGCGAUGAUUCCUCAGUUCGGAGCAACGGCUGAGAGCCUGAGCAAGGCGUCGUCGCUGGUGCUCCGCAUCGGCACCGACGCCCACCACUACGACGACCCCGAUGACGUCAACAUCGCCCCCCUUCUCGAUAGCCGUUUCGACUCCGAGAAGGUGGACGCCCUUAAGCGCCUUCUGGCUCUCCUCGCCCAGGGCGCCGACGUCUCCCACCACUACCCGCAGGUCGUCAAGAACGUGGCGUCGCAGUCGCUGGAGGUCAAGAAACUCGUGUAUAUGUACCUACUUCAUUGCGCCGAAAAGCGACAGAAUGAAGCUCUCCUGUCUAUUUAUCAGAUACGAAUCCUGUAGUCCGUGCAUGGGCCCUUCGCACUAUGGCAGGAAUCCGUGAACAUGCAGUAGCACCACUUGUGUUGGCAGCUAUUAGUAAGUGUGCUAGAGAUCCAUCUUCCUAUGUCAGGAGAUGUGCUGCCUAUGCACUUCCAAAGUUAUAUGACUUGCACCAUGAUGAAGACAGUGCUGCCCUUGAGGAGCUUGUGGAUAUCUUGUUAAGCGACCAUUCCCUUGGAGUUGUUGGAGCUGCUGCUGUAGCCUUUAAGCCUGUUUGCCCAUCCAGGCUAUAUUUAAUUGCUAAAAGUUUUAGAAGGUUAUGUGAGACACUCCCAGAUGUUGAGGAGUGGAGCCAGAUUGUUUUAAUUAAGAUUCUCUUAAGAUAUGUCAUAGCUAGACAUGGACUUGUCAAAGAGUCCAUUGUUUACUUCAAACUCAGUGUUAACUUCUCAAGAGGAUGAGAAUUUUGCAGCUUUUGGUGGUAUGUCGAAUAAUCAUCGUUGUUCCUUGGCAGGUAUGGCUUGUGACUCCAGUAUUAGUCCAAUGUGUAAAUGUUAUAUCGAAGGACAAAGGGACUGUUUAACCCAGGCUGGAUGCAUGAAAGGAGAAAAUAAUUUGGACCUCCCUCUAACUUCUACCACCAAUGAUGAUGUUGACAUUCUCUUGCAGUGUGCAUCACCCUUCCUAUGGAGUCAUAACAGUGCAGUUGUAUUUGGAGCUGCAACGGUUCAUUGGAUUAUGGCCCCGAGGGAGGAAGUUGAGAGGAUCAUCAAGCCCAUUCUGUUUAUUCUAAGAUCAUUCCAAGCCUCCAAAUAUGUGAUUCUCUGUAACACAUUAGUGUUUGCCAAAGCAGCUCCUCAAAUCUUUUUACCAUAUUAUGAAGAAUUUUUUGUAUGUAGCUCAGAUUCAUACCAAACCAGAGCCUUGAAGCUUGAGAUACUAUCCACUAUAGCCACAGAGUCAUCAGUGCCAAUCAUUUUGGAGGAGUUCGAGGUUUUAUUAUGUGCUCAUGGAGAAGAUUUGUUGACAUUUAGAAAGAUUCUGAGCUAUAUUAUUGAAUUGUCAAAGUACGACUUGAAUUAUGAUGUGCGAGAUCGUGCUUGUUUCAUAUUAAAACUUAUGUCUCACAAUUUGACCUUGUCAUCAGAGGAAGCGAUUACCUCAUUUGCACUGCAGAAUGGAGGGAUUCAUCAUGAGUUUGCGGAAAAGAUUUUUAGUGGAAAAAUACAUUCGGGGAUAGCAAAAAGCUUGCGGAUUUACCUUCCUGGAUCUCUGUCACAGAUUGUUUUUCAUGCUGCUCCUGGUUAUGAACCUCUUCCUCAACCUCGUAGUCUGCAUGCUAAAAAUAUCAAUCUCUGUACAGAGUUUGGCUAUGAGACCAAGCAACCAGAUCUGAAAAUGGACAAAAGCAAUUCAUUUGGAACAGAUGACCCUGAUAUAUCUUCUGGAUCCUUAUUUGAAGAAUGUGGCUCUGUCUACGAUUUUCAUCAUUAUUUCAUUAAGUCAGAUGGUUUGGCAGAGUUGAUAUCUAAGUCAUCAUUGGAGUCAUGGCUGGAUGAGCGACCUGGUUUGACAUCCACACAGAUGCCUCAACAACCUUCUGGCAGAAUAUCUAUUAACAAUCUUAAUUGUACUGUUACACCUAAGCUCCACAUGCUGCUUGAUCCUACAAAUAGUAAUGGCUUGAGGGCGGACUAUGCCUUUUCAUAUGAAAUUUCAACUGUAUCACCAGUACUAGUACUAAUUGAGGUUUUUUUUUUAGAACUGCACUUCUGAACCAUUAGUAACGAUAGCAUUGGAAGAUGGAGAAUCUACAUCGGGUGCAGAUUCUCCAUUCUUCAUAUCAACUGCUGAGAGAAACUGAAAAGUGCUCUCAUGUUCCAUGUCACAUUAUCUGUUUGUUAUUUGAAUUUUGAUUUUAAUUUUUGAGUAUAGUAAAAUUUGCAUCGUAUGAAAUUUAUUAAUUGGUCAUCCCUUAUAUACUCAAGAUGUUCUUUUUUUGUUUCAUUUGUAGCCUGCUUCCAACUGAUAUUGUUCCAUGUAUACUUUCUAUUGAAGAGAUUGCCUCUCUAGAUCCAAGUCAGAGGGUGAAGAAAGUCAUUCAAGUCCGUUUCCAUCAUCAUCUUCUGCCAUUUAAGUUGGCUGUGUUAUGUAAUGGGAAAAAGUAUUUGACAAAGCUGUGGCCUGAUAUUGGGUAUUUUCUUAGACCGCUCUCCAUGAGCUUGAAUGCAUUUAUAGAGAAGGAACGACAAUUACCUAGGAUGUUUGAGUAUUCAAAGAGGUGCACCUUCAGGGACCACAUGGAGAAGAUCGGCAGCGAGAAGGAUGAAAGUUCACUUCAUGCUGAUAAAAUUAUUUUAAUAUCUCAAACUUUAGAAUCUAAGGUUCUCAGCAAUUCUAAUGUUUGCCUUGAAGGCAUGGACAUCCCAGUUUCUUACAUCAUCAAUGAUGCAUCAGGCCUGUGCAUAUGAUUCAGUGGGGAAAUAUUGAGUAACUCGAGACCAUGCCUGAUUACUACUUCAGCUGAGGGCAAGUUCUCUGAACCUCUGGGUAUCAUGGUCAAAAUCAACUGUGAAGAUACUGUUUUCAGCCUUCACCUGCUGAACAGAGUGGCAGCAUUUCGACAAUGAAAGCAGAAUGUUGAUGAUUCCCUCCGUUUCUUUCCACCUUUCUGCCUUGUUCAAGGGUCAGGUUGCAGCUCCGUCAAGAGGCACAUGGUUCUGUAUCCAGAUUCCAGUGUAUCAUAUAAUCCAAGCGAUUGUCAUCUGAUGGGUGAAUGGAUGGUUCAUCCGUUCAGGCCUAUUCGUGAAAGCCAGUGUGGAGAUUUAAUUGGUGGUGUUGCGAGUCGACAUUUUUGUUUCUUUACCCUACUUUUGCGGCUAAGUCGGACUGCAAAUCUCUCACUUCUGCUUGGGUUCAUGCAGUCGACCUGAGCGAUGGGGAUCAGAUUGGUUGUGUAUAUUUUCUCUUUACCUUGUUUCCUUCUUGUCAAGCAUGUACAAGACUAUCUAUACCUAUCAGAAUGCUUCUGUGGCAGAUUCUUGUGGAGUGCCGAGAACAAAAAACAAUGGAAAAUAUGUUGAAUGAAUAGAGGAUGAUUCAUGCCGAAAACACGGAAGAAUAGUGGUGUAUUAGAAUUGUAUCAGAUGUUUAAAUUAAUAAAUAUAGCAGUCAAUGUUGGUGUUUUCA